AGUUUUAUGAUACUUAUAUAAAAUAACUUCUGCCCAGUGUCUAAAAAGAUAAAUGGCCGCAGUACCUUGACUGUGCUAAGGUAGCAUAAUCAAUUGGCUUUUAAUUGAAGUCUAGAAUGAAUGGGAAAAUGGAAUUUAGCUGUCUUAAUUUUUUUAAUUAAAAUUUAUUUAUAAGGUGAAAAUACCUUAAAAUUAAAUAAAGACGAGAAGACCCUAUGAAUUUUUAAAUGUAUUUUUGUUGGGGCGACAGUUUAAAAAAUAAUCUUAAAUUUAUAACAUAUAACGAAUUUUUUAAUAAAAAUUAAAUUACCUUAGGGAUAACAGCAUUAUUAUUAAAAUAGUUUGUGACCUCGAUGUUGGACUAGGAACUAAAAGGCUAACCGUCUUUAUAGAUUUGUUCUGUUCGAACAAUUUAAUCCU
rnacentral:rRNA from 1 species